UACAUAGGUUGCAAGCGUUAUCCGGAUUUAUUGGGCGUAAAGCGUGCGUAGACGGCUUUACAAGUCCUAGGUUAAAGCCCAGAGCUCAACUCUGGUACGCCUUGGAAACUAUAAAGCUAGAGUGUAGGAGAGGUUAGUGGAAUUCCAUGUGUAGCGGUGGAAUGUGUAGAUAUAUGGAAGAACACCGGUGGCGAAGGCGGCUAACUGGCCUAUAACUGACGUUGUGGCACGAAAGCGUGGGGAGCAAAUAGG
rnacentral:rRNA from 1 species